rnacentral:rRNA from 1 species
GGCUCAGGACGAACGCUGGCGGCGUGCUUCAUACAUGCAAGUCGAACGAUAAGGCACUUUCGGGUGUACAUAAGUGGCGGACGGGUGAGUAAAAUGUAGAGAAUCUGCCCUAGAGAGGGGGACAACAGAGGGAAACUUCUGCUAAUACCCCAUAUGAGCGUAGCUGGAAUGCUAUUCUUGAAAACUCCGGUGCUCUGGGAUGAGUCUGCAUCUGAUUAGCUAGUUGGGGGUGUAAUGGACCACCAAGGCGACGAUCAGUAGCUGGUUUGAGAGGAUGAUCAGCCACAAUGGACUGAGACACGGCCCAUACUCCUACGGGAGGCAGCAGUAGGGAAUUUUGCGCAAUGGGGGAAACCCUGACGCAAGCAACGCCGCGUGAUUGAUGAAGCCCUUCGGGGUGUAAAGAUCUGUCAGUGGGGACGAAACUUGACGGUACCCACAGAGGAAGCAUCGGCUAACUCCGUGCCAGCAGCAGC